rnacentral:rRNA from 1 species
UACGAAGGGGGCUAGCGUUGCUCGGAAUUACUGGGCGUAAAGCGCACGUAGGCGGUCUUUAAGUCGGGGUGAAAUCCUGGAGCUCAACUCCAGAACUGCCUUCGAUACUGGAAGACUCGAGUCCGGGAGAGGUCGAGUGGAACUGCGAGUGUAGAGGUGAAAUUCGUAGAUAUUCGCAAGAACACCAAGUGGCGAAGGCGGACUCGCUGGCCCGGUACGUC